ACUCUAAUAGUUUAAAAAAAACAUUGGUCUUGUAAACCAAAGAACGAAGAUCUACCCCUUCUUAGAGUU
rnacentral:tRNA from 2 species